rnacentral:rRNA from 1 species
UAAGCAUAUCAAUAAGCGGAGGAAAAGAAACUAACAAGGAUUCCCCUAGUAACUGCGAGUGAAGCGGGAAAAGCUCAAAUUUAAAAUCUGGUGGUCUUUGGCCAUCCGAGUUGUAGUCUGGAGAAGUGCUUUCCGCGUUGGACCGUGUACAAGUCUCUUGGAACAGAGCGUCAUAGAGGGUGAGAAUCCCGUCUUUGACACGGACUACCAAUGCUUUGUGAUGCGCUCUCAAAGAGUCGAGUUGUUUGGGAAUGCAGCUCAAAAUGGGUGGUAAAUUCCAUCUAAAGCUAAAUAUUGGCGAGAGACCGAUAGCGAACAAGUACCGUGAGGGAAAGAUGAAAAGCACUUUGGAAAGAGAGUUAAACAGUACGUGAAAUUGCUGAAAGGGAAACGCUUGAAGUCAGUCGCGUUGGCCGGAACUCAGCCUUGCUUUUGCUAGGUGCACUUUCUGGUUGACGGGCCAGCAUCAAUUUUGAUUGUUGGAUAAAGGUUGGGGGAAUGUGGCACCUUCGGGUGUGUUAUAGCCCUCAGUCACAUACAACAGUUGGGAUUGAGGAUCUCAGCACGCCUUUAUGGCCGGGGUUCGCCCACGUUCGUGCUUAGGAUGCUGGCAUAAUGGCUUUAAACGACCCGUCUUGAAACACGGACCAAGGAGUCUAACAUGCCUGCGAGUGUUUGGGUGGAAAACCCGAGCGCGUAAUGAAAGUGAAAGUUGGGAUCUCUGUCAUGGAGAGCACCGACGCCCGGACCUGACCUUCUGUGACGGCUCCGCGGUAGAGCAUGUAUGUUGGGACCCGAAAGAUGGUGAACUAUGCCUGAAUAGGGUGAAGCCAGAGGAAACUCUGGUGGAGGCUCGUAGCGAUUCUGACGUGCAAAUCGAUCGUCAAAUUUGGGUAUAGGGGCGAAAGACUAAUCGAACCAUCUAGUAGCUGGUUC